rnacentral:rRNA from 1 species
AUUGAACGCUGGCGGAAUGCUUUACACAUGCAAGUCGAACGGCAGCACGGGGCAACCUGGUGGCGAGUGGCGAACGGGUGAGUAAUACAUCGGAACGUGCCCAAUCGUGGGGGAUAACGUAGCGAAAGUUACGCUAAUACCGCAUACGAUCUACGGAUGAAAGCGGGGGAUCGCAAGACCUCGCGCGAAUGGAGCGGCCGAUGUCAGAUUAGGUAGUUGGUGGGGUAAAGGCUCACCAAGCCGACGAUCUGUAGCUGGUCUGAGAGGACGACCAGCCACACUGGGACUGAGACACGGCCCCAGACUCCUACGGAGGCAGCAGUGGGGAAUUUUGGACAAUGGGCGCAAGGCCUGAUCCAGCCAUUCCGCGUGCAGGAUG